ACGGGAGGCAGCAGUGGGGAAUCUUCCGCAAUGGGCGAAAGCCUGACGGAGCAAUGCCGCGUGAAUGAAGAAGGCCUUCGGGUUGUAAAAUUCUGUCCUUAUUGAAGAGAGAUCGAUGUGUAAAUAAUACAUUGAUAGGACGGUAGAUAAGGAGGAAGCCCCGGCUAACUACGUGCCAGCAGCCGCGGUAAUACGUAGGGGGCGAGCGUUGUCCGGAAUCACUGGGCGUAAAGGGCGCGUAGGCGGUCAUGUAAGUCAGAUGUGAAAUAUAGGGGCUCAACUCCUAGACUGCAUCUGAUACUGCAAGACUUGAGUGCAGAAGAGGAAAGUGGAAUUCCUAGUGUAGCGGUGAAAUGCGUAGAUAUUAGGAGGAACACCAGUGGCGAAGGCGACUUUCUGGGCUGUAACUGACGCUGAGGCGCGAAAGCGUGGGGAGCAAACAGGAUUAGAUACCCUGGUA
rnacentral:rRNA from 1 species